rnacentral:rRNA from 1 species
AUGGAUCCGCGCUGCAUUAGCUAGUUGGUAAGGUAACGGCUUACCAAGGCAACGAUGCAUAGCCGACCUGAGAGGGUGAUCGGCCACACUGGAACUGAGACACGGUCCAGACUCCUACGGGAGGCAGCAGUAGGGAAUCUUCCGCAAUGGGCGAAAGCCUGACGGAGCAACGCCGCGUGAGUGAUGAAGGUCUUCGGAUCGUAAAACUCUGUUAUUAGGGAAGAACAUAUGUGUAAGUAACUGUGCACAUCUUGACGGUACCUAAUCAGAAAGCCACGGCUAACUACGUGCCAGCAGCCGCGGUAAUACGUAGGUGGCAAGCGUUAUCCGGAAUUAUUGGGCGUAAAGCGCGCGUAGGCGGUUUUUUAAGUCUGAUGUGAAAGCCCACGGCUCAACCGUGGAGGGUCAUUGGAAACUGGAAAACUUGAGUGCAGAAGAGGAAAGUGGAAUUCCAUGUGUAGCGGUGAAAUGCGCAGAGAUAUGGAGGAACACCAGUGGCGAAGGCGACUUUCUGGUCUGUAACUGACGCUGAUGUGCGAAAGCGUGGGGAUCAAACAGGAUUAGAUACCCUGGUAGUCCACGCCGUAAACGAUGAGUGCUAAGUGUUAGGGGGUUUCCGCCCCUUAGUGCUGCAGCUAACGCAUUAAGCACUCCGCCUGGGGAGUACGACCGCAAGGUUGAAACUCAAAGGAAUUGACGGGGACCCGCACAAGCGGUGGAGCAUGUGGUUUAAUUCGAAGCAACGCGAAGAACCUUACCAAAUCUUGACAUCCUUUGACAACUCUAGAGAUAGAGCCUUCCCCUUCGGGGGACAAAGUGACAGGUGGUGCAUGGUUGUCGUCAGCUCGUGUCGUGAGAUGUUGGGUUAAGUCCCGCAACGAGCGCAACCCUUAAGCUUAGUUGCCAUCAUUAAGUUGGGCACUCUAAGUUGACUGCCGGUGACAAACCGGAGGAAGGUGGGGAUGACGUCAAAUCAUCAUGCCCCUUAUGAUUUGGGCUACACACGUGCUACAAUGGACAAUACAAAGGGCAGCGAAACCGCGAGGUCAAGCAAAUCCCAUAAAGUUGUUCUCAGUUCGGAUUGUAGUCUGCAACUCGACUACAUGAAGCUGGAAUCGCUAGUAAUCGUAGAUCAGCAUGCUACGGUGAAUACGUUCCCGGGUCUUGUACACACCGCCCGUCACACCACGAGAGUUUGUAACACCCGAAGCCGGUGGAGUAACCUUUUAGGAGCUAGCCGUCGAAGGUGGGACAAAUGAUUGGGGUGAAGUCGUAACAAGGUAGCCGUAUCGGAAGGUGCGGCUGGAUCACCUCCUUU